CACCUGAGCCUCCCAAAAUGCUGGGAUGACAGGGUCAACUGUGAAAGGGAUGAGAGAUGGGACUUCUUAUUGAAGAAGGGGAGGGGCCUCAUAAGUUCCUGGACUUUGCUAAGUCAUGAUUGGAGAAGUGGCAGA